GAUGAACGCUGGCGGCGUGCCUAAUACAUGCAAGUCGAACGAGGUGCUUUUGUAGCAAUACGAAAGUAUCCUAGUGGCGAACGGGUGAGUAACGCGUUGGUGACCUACCCCAAAGUGUGGGAUAACAGUUCGAAAGAACCGCUAAUACCGCAUGUGGUUAUCGGGUUUAGAAACUGAUAACUAAAGGAGCAAUUCGCUUUGGGAGGUACCUGCGUCCCAUCAGCUAGUUGGUGAGGUAACGGCUCACCAAGGCUACGACGGGUAGGGGACCUGAGAGGGUGGCCCCCCACAAUGGAACUGAAACACGGUCCAUACACCUACGGGUGGCAGCAGUAGGGAAUAUUGCACAAUGGGCGAAAGCCUGAUGCAGCAACGCCGCGUGUGCGAUGAAGGCCUUCGGUCGUAAAGCACUUUCUGAGAGAUGAGAAAGGACAGUAUCUCAGGAAUAAGUCUCGGCGUAACUACGUGCCAGCAG
rnacentral:rRNA from 1 species